rnacentral:rRNA from 1 species
GCGAGGUUAACCGUAUAGGGGAGCCGUAGCGAAAGCGAGUCUUAACUGGGCGUUAAGUUGCAGGGUAUAGACCCGAAACCCGGUGAUCUAGCCAUGGGCAGGUUGAAGGUUGAGUAACAUCAACUGGAGGACCGAACCCACUGUCGUUGAAAAGCCAGGGGAUGACUUGUGGAUAGGGGUGAAAGGCUAAUCAAACUCGGUGAUAGCUGGUUCUCCCCGAAAUGCAUU